GGCCAAAAAUGCUACGAGGAGUUGUAGUUCGAGUACGGAGGGGAUAUCUAUGAAUCAAAAUUCUACAAGAACAUGCCUUUUGACGACUUCGGCAUAUGAUCUCUCUCUCCAUGCCACACAUUCUCAGGCUUGUUAAUUUCAUUGUGGCCUACGCUUUCAAAACCAACCACGGCCCGUGCCGCUCUACGGCUUUUGGUCAAUUUUCAUCUUGUCAUUGGUGUUGACAACAUCGCGACUGAAUGUGGAUGUGGAUGUUGACGUUUACUUGUACCACGUAGGAAAGGAGGUCGGGGGGGAUGUCGUCAAGCCGAUAUUCAUGUUCAGGAAUAGGAAUAAAUGUGACGUGGGAUCGGUACUAUACUAGUACAUGUGCUGUACGUACUUAGAUUAAAUCUAUCGGCAAAUGCAUAAUACAUUGUUUUGACUUGGGCUUUGGAAUAGAGUUGAGUGAGUGAGUGAGAGAGAGAGAGGGUGUGUGUGUGUGUGUGUGUGCAGUACGCCCAAUCGUUUAGGGCAUCCAGUCGCACGAAAACGGCGAUUGCAAGGGAU
rnacentral:sRNA from 1 species